UNGAAUUGGUAAGAACAUGCUGGCUUCUC
rnacentral:piRNA from 1 species